UACGUAGGGUGCGAGCGUUGUCCGGAAUUAUUGGGCGUAAAAGGGCUCGUAGGCGGUUUGUCGCGUCGGGAGUGAAAACCCGGGGCUCAACCCCGGGCCUGCAUUCGAUACGGGCAGACUAGAGUUCGGUAGGGGAGUCUGGAAUUCCUGGUGUAGCGGUGAAAUGCGCAGAUAUCAGGAGGAACACCGGUGGCGAAGGCGGAUCUCUGGGCCAUUACUGACGCUGAGGAGCGAAAGCGUGGGGAGCGAACAGGA
rnacentral:rRNA from 1 species